AAAAUUAAAUAAGCAAAGCCGGAGACAGCAGGUGCUAAUAGCUUAAUACCCUGCCGAGGUUGUAAUUUUAACCGCCUGAAGUUUAAUCAAGAAAAGUUUGAUAACUGCGGCCUUAAAAAUACUACUUUGAAACCCUGGCUAAGAUAGCUGGGGUUAAGUUUUUUCCGU
rfam:Anabaena sp. 90 chromosome chANA01, complete sequence.